CGCUCUGCAAGACACCAGAGGCUGAGAGCAAAGAAAGCUGAAGAAAAGCUCGGCGCUUCUCUCCAGGCCCGAAAUCCGAGCCGCCUCUUCACAAAAAGAAGAGGCUUCCUCCUGACAACCCUUCCAAACAAGCCAAACCCAGAAUCUGCGCAGUCAGGGAGUGUGAUGUUCCAUGCCUACUUAUUCAGUCAGAGCCUGCAUCAGUGUCCCACCUCAGCCACUCAUUCACUGAGCAGGCAUGUGCCAUCACGUCCUCAAACCCGGAAGCAUCCAAUAGUGGGGAGCAGAGUUCCAUUAUACUGGUGAUGCCGUGGCAUGGGAAGCGAGGAAGCUUUCUUCCUGGUGGUGUCCAGGUUUGCACUGUUCAGUGCUUUCAGGACCAACUCAUUGUGCCGGAAACACCUUUUCAGCCAGUGACUAGCAGCUGCAGUGACCUGCCUCAGCAAGUGACUGGCUGACCCACCAUACCCUUGUAUUGAACGAGGACCAGGAAAUGCUGAUCAGCAGGCACCCAGACAUUGUUCGGAUGACAGCAGUGGGGGUUUUUACAGAUGAAUGAUGCCUUGGCCACAUGAUCGUUCCUAAGCUGGUGGUUGCCAGUUAGGUCAGAGUCUCUCCCAGACCAGCAAAGUGGGAUCCUGCUCUUUCUAGACAUACCUACACCCAAGCCAAGUGUUAUGUGGAAUCCUGUUCUACAGUUAAGUUCCAGUCCACACUGUGAGGACAACUUGAUUCAAGGCUUCAUCUCCAAAAAGUUUUUUUUUUCUUCCAGUUUUGUGAGUAGUAAGCCACCACAGUAAGCCAUCCUGUGCAGUUCCACAUCAAUGGAGGCCAAGCUAAUUGCACUGUGAACAUCUGUCUCCAUUGCAUCUGCAUUAGUCACUACAUGUACACCUGCUAAGAGUACACCAGAGAUUCUCUUUAUUCAGUAACAAUGCUGGAACAGUGAGCGAAUAUCCAUUCAUCUGGCCUAAUACCUGUAACAUCCUAUGUUUUGAUAAAUAGACUGGGACAAAGUCCAGGAAGUAAGAGCAGGAAUACCACUCCUCUAUGCUCCCUACUGUUUUGUCUAUUGGACUCCUGUCUGAAAACAGAGAUAGGUUACAGAGAAACCUACCGUGAUUGAAUGCAGAGACCGAGCACAAAAUAACAGACUCAGGGAGAGAGUAAAUGCAUAGUGAGUGGACAAGCUCCUUCCUGAGCAGUGGAUGUCAGAAUGAUUAAGCAGCAAUAUGGAGGGAUUUGUGAGCCAAAUACAGAAGUUAGACACAUAAGAAGACAUGGAGAGCAUCUGCAUGACCUAGUGAGUUACAUAUGUAAGCACAAUUUUUUUCUGUGAUAUGACAUAUAUGCUUUAAGUAAACUGCUGUCACAUAAGGCAGCAAUAAGUGCAGCCCUUAGGUAACCUACAGCCACUUUCCCUGCCAACUUGAGUAUCAGUCCUAAGCGACAGAUCCUCAACUAGGCUGUUGUCCUUGUUCUGAGAAAGUGCAGGGGCAUAAAGUCCAAAACAAUAAACCAAACACUACAAAUGAUGCAGGGCAGGAUACAAAGGGUUAACAAUCAAAGCAUAUUACAAAACAGGGAAUAACCAAACAAGCAAAGAAAGCGAAGUCAGAACCUUAAGUCAGAACCAAAUCCUGCUUAUUGCACUUUGGUAACAACUUAAAAAAAAGGAUAGUUGGGUUCACAGAGAGCAUCUGGCUAGCUACACUACCUUGCCACUUGACAUAAAAACAUCCUUGGUACUGUUACUCAAAGCUGACCUGCAGCACAAUGGUUAAACAAAACAACUUGCAACAUACAUCAAAGUAUCCCUAUUACUGAGGGCAGUGGCGUACCUCCCAUAGAGGCAGGGUACGCCACUGCUAUGGGGCCCCCUGGCCUGGUCAGGAACCAAAUGGCCAUGCCUCCCCAUCCACCUGACCCCAGCAAUUAGAAUGUGUUUUUUUGGCAGUUGUCCAAAACACCCACUUCAUAAUCCGCUCUCUAGCUGGGAAACCAGGCCACCAUGUGCCACUUUGGUGUUGGCUGCAGACAGCUUCAGGCUGUGCAGGUGGUAAUGUCACUUAUCAUUGCCACCCACACCAGAGGGGAGGAGGAAAGACAGGGCUUGCCUGCUGUUCUGUGUAGGAGAGGAGGAAUAAUAUGAUUAUUUCCUUUUUUGGCGGGGGGGGGCACAACCUGCCUACAGGGGGGCUAAACUGGGGACUGCCUGCCUACUGGAGGGACUAUCUUCCUACAGGAAAGAAUUGCCUGCCUGCUGGGGAGGUCUACCUUGCUCUUUGUGGGGGACUAUCUUUUACUGUGCAGGACACCAAGGAGGGCAUUAUCACCAUUUGGGGACUGUGACUGUGAUGUUUGUAUAAAAUUUGGGAAGUUGGUUAAGGAGUUAACUUUUUCUACAGGAUUAAGUUAUGGAUGAGGGAAGUUGUCAUGGUGGUUUGGACCAGAUAGAAAAAAUAAAGAAUUACUUUGCAGUGCAGUUACAUCCAGUGAAUCACAGAUGUCUUCUGUAAUCAUUGUAACUACUGUUGGUCUGACAACAGACCCAUGUAAGUGGUAGACCUUUUCUGAAAGUACAGGGUGGGCCAUUUAUAUGGAUACACCUUAAUAAAAUGGGAAUGGUUGGUGAUAUUAACUUCCUGUUUGUGGCACAUAAGUAUAUGUGAGGGGGGAAACUUUUCAAGAUGGGUGGUGACCAUGGCGGCCAUUUUGAAGUCGGCCAUUUUUAAUCCAACUUUAGUUUUUUCAAUAGGAAGCACCUGAAACUAUGGAUACUGAAAGCCUGUGCUAGCAUUUCUCCUGCGGUGUUGCUAUCAGUGUGUGAAGAGUGGGAGAAGAUUGUUGCAUUGACAAUCCAACACAAUGGGCAGCACAUUGAACACAUUUUAUAAAGUGGUCAGAAACUUGUCAAUAACUCAUGAAAGAAUAAAGUUACGUUAAAACCAAGCACAUCAUUGUUUUUCUUGUGAA